UGUUAAGACUAGGUAGAGAAAGGAAUGGACCCAAAUCCCCAUUGAGUGCCUGGUUUAGGGUAAUAAAAAGGGCUCUUUUAUUUCCCAUAUUCCUUUUUCCCUUCCCCUCCCAGCAAACAGGUAAGUAUCUGAUGCUGGGUAGGAGAGGGAGCAAGGGAUUGAGAGAGCGGCUGGGAAACUGUCACAGAAGGUUGAAAAUAAAGAUCACGUGACCACAACAGCAACCGGUAGCAUAAGUAGCUACAACUUUCCCUGCAUUUUAGAUGCAUUCUGUAUGUUAGCCCAUUUAAAGUGCUUUGGUUCAAAAACUAUUGCCCUAUGAUGCAAUGUUUUGCCCAGUUAAAGGUCAUGAUAAUGAGACUUCAGUAGUAUAGGCCAGGGAAGUCUAAAAUGCAUCAUUUACUUCCUAUCCCCCACACACUUUCAAAUAUAUACCCUUUCAGUGCCCAUGGACUC